rnacentral:rRNA from 1 species
AUUGAACGCUGGCGGCAUGCCUUACACAUGCAAGUCGAACGGUAACGCGGGGCAACCUGGCGACGAGUGGCGAACGGGUGAGUAAUGCAUCGGAACGUGCCCAGUAGUGGGGGAUAGCCCGGCGAAAGCCGGAUUAAUACCGCAUACGACCUACGGGUGAAAGGGGGGGAUCGCAAGACCUCUCGCUAUUGGAGCGGCCGAUGUCAGAUUAGGUAGUUGGUGGGGUAAAGGCCUACCAAGCCGACGAUCUGUAGCUGGUCUGAGAGGACGACCAGCCACACUGGGACUGAGACACGGCCCAGACUCCUACGGGAGGCAGCAGUGGGGAAUUUUGGACAAUGGGCGAAAGCCUGAUCCAGCCAUGCCGCGUGCGGGAAGAAGGCCUUCGGGUUGUAAACCGCUUUUGUCAGGGAAGAAAUCUUCUGGGUUAAUACCUCGGGAGGAUGACGGUACCUGAAGAAUGAGCACCGGCUAACUACGUGCCAGCCGCCGCAGUAACAC